GCCACCUUUUGGCAAACAAUUUCGUGCUGCUUCGUAUCGACGUUUCUUCUGACUAGUUUGUGGAAGAGCCCCACCAACAAGUACUUGUUCUAAGACCGAUAUCCUGAGAUCAGGGCAGAGAAAUCACAGCUUCGCGGGUGGACAACCGCCAUGCCUGCUGUCAGCAGUUUACUGCUGGUUGGCAAAGCCAGUCUGACAGCGUUCACAUAACCAGGGUCCAGGGCAGACCUCCAUCCGUCCAACACCUUCAUUAGGCAGCAGGGCUUCGUGUUGCCUGGACUCAAGAGUAUCUGAGCAACAUAUGGAGAGUGAGUGCUUGCUACAGCAGCCAGAAGAGGAAGAUCACUGGAUUCAAUCCUGAAAUUAAGAGAAAAAAAACAUCUCAGUCAGGCUUUCUGUACCCAAGUCACUAUACCUCAGCUGUAAAGGACCCAGGUCACGCUGGCCAAAAGAAAAAGGUGGUUGUCCAUUUGGCAUGACUGUUGGAACCCAGGCAAGAUGAUUGGUCAGAACUGCAGUAAUGAGUGCUGGCAA